rnacentral:lncRNA from 1 species
AGAGAAGGCAGAGAAGCCAGCUGACAGGGAGAAGGAAGAGAAGUCAGCUGACACGGAGAAGAAGAGAAGUCAUCCAACACGGAGAAGGAAGAGAAGUCAGCUGACAGGAAGAAGGAAGAUAAGUCAGCUGACAUGGAGAAGAAGAGAAGUCAGCUGACACGGAGAAGGCAGAGAAGUCAGCUGACAUGGAGAAGGAAGAGAAGUCAGCUGACACGGAGAAGGAAGAGAAGUCAGCUGACACAGAGAAGGCAGAGAAGUCAGCUGACAGGGAGAAGGAAGAGAAGUCAGCUGACACGGAGAAGAAGAGAAGUCAUCCAACACGGAGAAGGAAGAGAAGUCAGCUGACAGGAAGAAGGAAGAUAAGUCAGCUGACAUGGAGAAGAAGAGAAGUCAGCUGACAUGGAAAAGGAAGAGAAGUCAGCUGAUACGGAGAAGAAGAGAAGUCAGCUGACAUGGAAAAGGAAGAGAAGUCAGCUGACAGUGAGAAGGAAGAUAAGUCAGUUGACACGGAGAAGGAGGAUAAGUCAGCUGAAAGAAGAGAAGUCAGCUGACACGGAAAAGGAAGAGACGUCAGCUGACACGGAGAAGGAAGAGAAGUCAGCUGACAGGGAGAAGGAAGAGAAGUCAGCUGAUAUGGAGAAGGAGGUGAAGUCAGCUGGCAGGGAGAAGGAGGUGAAGUCAGUUGACACAGAGAAGGCAGAGAAGUCAGCUGACACAGAGAAGGCAGAGAAGUCAGCUGACAUGGAGAAGGAAGAGAAGUCAGCUGACACAGAGAAGAAGAGAAGUCAGCUGACAUGGAAAAGGAAGAGAAGUCAGCUGACACGGAGAAGGAAGAGAAGUCAGCUGACACCGAGAAGGAAGA